AUUGAACGCUGGCGGCAUGCCUUACACAUGCAAGUCGAACGGCAGCACGGGUGCUUGCACCUGGUGGCGAGUGGCGAACGGGUGAGUAAUACAUCGGAACGUACCUUAUCGUGGGGGAUAACGCAGCGAAAGUUGCGCUAAUACCGCAUACGCCCUGAGGGGGAAAGCGGGGGACCGUAAGGCCUCGCGCGAUUAGAGCGGCCGAUGUCUGAUUAGCUUGUUGGGGAGGUAAAAGCUCACCAAGGCGAUGAUCAGUAGCUGGUCUGAGAGGACGAUCAGCCACACUGGGGCUGAGACACGGCCCAGACUCCUACGGGAGGCAGCAGUGGGGAAUUUUGGACAAUGGGGGCAACCCUGAUCCAGCAAUGCCGCGUGAGUGAAGAGGGCCUUCGGGUUGUAAAGCUCUUUUGUCAGGGAAGAAACAGCAGCUCUAACACAGACUGCGAAUGACGGUACCUGAAGAAUAAGCACCGGCUAACUACGUGCCAGCCGCCGCAGUAA
rnacentral:rRNA from 1 species